UCUCCGUUGGUGAACCAGCGGAGGGAUCAUUACAGAGUUAUCUAACUCCCAAACCAUUGUGAACUUACCAUAUGUUGCCUCGGCAGAACCUACCCUGUAGCGGGCUGCCGGUGGACUACUAAACUCUUGUUAUUUUUAAAGUAAUCUGAGCGUCUUAUUUUAAUAAGUCAAAACUUUCAACAACGGAUCUCUUGGUUCUGGCAUCGAUGAAGAACGCAGC
rnacentral:misc_RNA from 1 species